rnacentral:tRNA from 1 species
AGCCGCGUGGCGCAAUUGAUAACGCGUCUGCCUACGGAGCAGAAGAUUACAGGUUCGAGCCCUGGUGUGGUCG